GCGCCCGUAGCUCAGCUGGAUAGAGUAGUAGGUUCCGAUCCUAUUGGUCGGGGGUUCGAAUCCCUCCGGGCGCACCA
rnacentral:tRNA from 1 species